rnacentral:rRNA from 1 species
CUACGGGAUGCAGCAGUGGGGAAUAUUGGGCAAUGGGCGCAAGCCUGACCCAGCAACGCCGCGUGAGGGAAGAAGGUUCUCGGAUUGUAAACCUCUGUCCUUGGGGACGAAGAAAGUGACGGUACCCAAGGAGGAAGCUCCGGCUAACUACGUGCCAGCAGCCGCGGUAAUACGUAGGGAGCAAGCGUUGUCCGGAAUUACUGGGCGUAAAGGGUGCGUAGGCGGCAUAUUAAGUCAGGUGUGAAAUAUUCGGGCUCAACCCGAAGGGUGCAUUUGAAACUGGUAUGCUUGAGUGUGAGAGAGGAAAGUGGAAUUCCUAGUGUAGCGGUGAAAUGCGUAGAUAUUAGGAGGAACACCAGUGGCGAAGGCGACUUUCUGGCUCAUAACUGACGCUGAGGCACGAAAGCGUGGGUAGCAAACAGGAUUAGAUACCCGCGUAGUC